AGAGUUUGAUCAUGGCUCAGAUUGAACGCUGGCGGCAGGCCUAACACAUGCAAGUCGAACGGUAACAGGAAGCAGCUUGCUGCUUCGCUGACGAGUGGCGGACGGGUGAGUAAUGUCUGGGAAGCUGCCUGAUGGAGGGGGAUAACUAUUGGAAACGGUAGCUAAUACCGCAUAAUGUCGCAAGACCAAAGAGGGGGACCUUCGGGCCUCUUGCCAUCGGAUGUGCCCAGAUGGGAUUAGCUUGUUGGUGGGGUAACGGCUCACCAAGGCGACGAUCCCUAGCUGGUCUGAGAGGAUGACCAGCCACACUGAACUGAGACACGGUCCAGACUCCUACGGGAGGCAGCAGUGGGGAAUAUUGCACAAUGGGCGCAAGCCUGAUGCAGCCAUGCCGCGUGUAUGAAGAAGGCCUUCGGGUUGUAAAGUACUUUCAGCGGGGAGGAAGGGAGUAAAGUUAAUACCUUUGCUCAUUGACGUUACCCGCAGAAGAAGCACCGGCUAACUCCGUGCCAGCAGCCGCGGUAAUACGGAGGGUGCAAGCGUUAAUCGGAAUUACUGGGCGUAAAGCGCACGCAGGCGGUUUGUUAAGUCAGAUGUGAAAUCCCCGGGCUCAACCUGGGAACUGCAUCUGAUACUGGCAAGCUUGAGUCUCGUAGAGGGGGGUAGAAUUCCAGGUGUAGCGGUGAAAUGCGUAGAGAUCUGGAGGAAUACCGGUGGCGAAGGCGGCCCCCUGGACGAAGACUGACGCUCAGGUGCGAAAGCGUGGGGAGCAAACAGGAUUAGAUACCCUGGUAGUCCACGCCGUAAACGAUGUCGACUUGGAGGUUGUGCCUUUGAGGCGUGGCUUCCGGAGCUAACGCGUUAAGUCGACCGCCUGGGGAGUACGGCCGCAAGGUUAAAACUCAAAUGAAUUGACGGGGGCCCGCACAAGCGGUGGAGCAUGUGGUUUAAUUCGAUGCAACGCGAAGAACCUUACCUGGUCUUGACAUCCACGGAAGUUUUCAGAGAUGAGAAUGUGCCUUCGGGAACCGUGAGACAGGUGCUGCAUGGCUGUCGUCAGCUCGUGUUGUGAAAUGUUGGGUUAAGUCCCGCAACGAGCGCAACCCUUAUCCUUUGUUGCCAGCGGUCCGGCCGGGAACUCAAAGGAGACUGCCAGUGAUAAACUGGAGGAAGGUGGGGAUGACGUCAAGUCAUCAUGGCCCUUACGACCAGGGCUACACACGUGCUACAAUGGCGCAUACAAAGAGAAGCGACCUCGCGAGAGCAAGCGGACCUCAUAAAGUGCGUCGUAGUCCGGAUUGGAGUCUGCAACUCGACUCCAUGAAGUCGGAAUCGCUAGUAAUCGUGGAUCAGAAUGCCACGGUGAAUACGUUCCCGGGCCUUGUACACACCGCCCGUCACACCAUGGGAGUGGGUUGCAAAAGAAGUAGGUAGCUUAACCUUCGGGAGGGCGCUUACCACUUUGUGAUUCAUGACUGGGGUGAAGUCGUAACAAGGUAACCGUAGGGGAACCUGCGGUUG
rnacentral:rRNA from 1 species